GACGAACGCUGGCGGCGUGCUUAACACAUGCCAGUCGAACGGAAAGGCCCUGCUUUUGUGGGGUGCUCGAGUGGCGAACGGGUGAGUAACACGUGAGUAACCUGCCCUUGACUUUGGGAUAACUUCAGGAAACUGGGGCUAAUACCGGAUAGGAGCUCCUGCUACAUGGUGGGGGUUGGAAAGUUUCGGCGGUUGGGGAUGGACUCGCGGCUUAUCAGCUUGUUGGUGGGGUAGUGGCUUACCAAGGCUUUGACGGGUAGCCGGCCUGAGAGGGUGACCGGCCACAUUGGGACUGAGAUACGGCCCAGACUCCUACGGGAGGCAGCAGUGGGGAAUAUUGCACAAUGGGCGGAAGCCUGAUGCAGCAACGCCGCGUGCGGGAUGACGGCCUUCGGGUUGUAAACCGCUUUCGCCUGUGACGAAGCGUGAGUGACGGUAAUGGGUAAAGAAGCACCGGCUAACUACGUG
rnacentral:rRNA from 1 species